rnacentral:lncRNA from 1 species
UAACACUAUAGACCUCUUUGGAAUCCAUACAUUUACAUCUCAUUUUAACAUCCACUAUCUCCUCCUUAAAUCUGGCUACAUGCAAGUGGCCACUGAAAUCUGGUGCUGGAGAACACACAUGAAAAGCCUAUCUGGAGAUGGGAGGUGAGUAAUGCCCAGCACACAUUAAAUCUGCCGUGAAUAUUGCUGGGCAGAUGGAUAUUGAAUGUGCUUGGUAGAGCUACCUCCUUUCAGUAUUAAGAUAUUGCUUCAAUUUCCUGGUUCAUAGGUUCCUUACAACACAUAACAAGGGACUUUUUCAUCUGUCUUUUCCUUCAGUAGUAAACACUGGCUUCUUAAAAUUCAUUGCUUUUUACCAUAGCAACUAAGUCCUGGACGUCCUGUGUUAAAACAAGAUGGACAGGACAGAGUGGUAGAAUGACAAGGACAGUGUCUGUCCAUGCUCACUCUGUUUUCUGUAGUUCUGAGACGUGACCAGGGAACCAAUUCAAAUCUCUUUCCCUCUCCAUGCUGUAGUUAUCAUGUGACGUAAAGCUGGACCCUCGCCCAGAAUACCACCGGUGUAUACUGACUUGGCAUCACCAAGAACCACUGCCCUGGGCCCAGAGUACAGGUAAUCAGAUGAGCAGCCGUCUGAUGAGCAUGCGCAGUGCCAAUGGAUUGCUGAUGCUACCUCCAAAGACAGAGCAGUAUGUGGAACUUCACAAAGGCGAGGUGGUGGA